rnacentral:lncRNA from 1 species
AAAUAAGUUAAUAUAUGUAAAACCCCUAGAAUAGUGCCUUGCACAUAAUCACUUGUUAAUUAUUAGCUAUUAUUAUUACUUAGACAUAUUACAAUUAAAUUCUAGAACAAUGAAGAGAAAUGGAAAUGCUUCCAGAGAAUGAGCAUACCUACCAAGGAAAAAUAUUUAGAUUGAUCCCAGGCUUCUUAACAUUGUAAUUACAUUUGAAAACUAAGGACGUUAGAUUCAAUCAACCUUCAGAAUAUUGACCAUAUAAAGAAUCACUUUGAGAAACUCUUGAAGAAUGUAUUGAAAUAAGAAGAUGCAUAAAUAUAUAAGGAAUAUAUGAUGUUGGGCCCCACAUUUUGAGGAUAUUAUAAUAAUUUUUCAAAGCAUGGAUGAAGCAAAAUAUGUAAAUUCUAAAUAGCAUCAACACUGUUUUGAAGCUGGGAGACAACAAAAGAUGAAAAUGGUGUGAACUUGCAAAGUACAAAUAUUGCUAUAUUUAAGAAACCAAUGAAAAAUACGGGGAAACCAGUAAGUAUAGAUAUUAAGUUAGAAGCAAGAAUAAAAAUAGACAGUGAGAAUUUUCAUGUACUUCUUGUAUUCUAGUGCUUCAUUAGUCAAAUUAUAUAGGCACAUAUACUGUGGGAUGCAUUCUAGUGCUUAAUUAGUCAAAUUAUAUAGGCACAUAUACUAUGGCCCUGCAACUUCAUUCCUGGGUCUGCAUCUCAAAGAAAUUACUACAAAGGUCCAUAUAGGGAAGUGCCUUGUGCCUCCUGCCAUGAUUCUGAGGCCUCCUCAGCCAUGUGGUACUGUAAGUCCAAUUAAACUUCUUUUCCUUCCCAGUCUUGGGUACAUCUUUAUCAGCAGCACGAAAAUGGACUAAUACACUUGCCUUUUCUCUCUUCAGCGUUUUCAAGAUCUAUUGUUGAUAAUAUAUAAUAUCUUACAAGUUAUUUAAUUCUCUAAUGUAUGGGAAGCAGCGUAGCAUCGUCCUUGCUGUUGCUAUGGUAUUUAUUGCUGUUGAGCCUUCAGGAAACCUCUCUGCAUCUCGGUUUCCUCAUCUAUAAAAUGGAGAUGAUAACUGUACUUACAUCAUGGAGCUGCUAUGAGGAUCAAAGAAGUUAUCAACACUUCAGAAUAUGGCCAGCACAUAGGAACAAUAUAUCUAUUUGCUAAAUCGAAGGAUAAAAAGAAACCUACUUUGUAUGGAAAAGGAGAAAGAAAAGAGUAAGAUUGAACUAUGCUUUGCUGCAUGGUGGGUUUGAUGAAAGUGGAGUCACGCUGAUUGGUGCUCAAGAUAAAUGUCUUAGGGGAAGACUCAUACCCAGUGGAAUUUUUUUUAGUGAAAUAUCGUGGCUCAUGGACUGUGAGAUUUGUCA